rnacentral:rRNA from 1 species
UUUACAAUGGAGAGUUUGAUCCUGGCUCAGGAUGAACGCUAGCGGCAGGCCUAAUACAUGCAAGUCGAACGGAUGUCCUUCGGGGCAUUAGUGGCGUACGGGUGCGUAACGCGUAAACAAUCUACCUCAUACUGGGGGAUAGCCCUGGGAAACCGGGAGUAAGCCCGCAUGGCACCACGAGAUUUCAUGGUUUUGUGGUUAAAGAUUUAUCGGUAUGAGAUGAGUUUGCGUCUGAUUAGCUAGUUGGCGGGGUAACGGCCCACCAAGGCGAUGAUCAGUAGGGGCUCUGAGAGGAGCGGCCCCCACACUGGCACUGAGACACGGGCCAGACUCCUACGGGAGGCAGCAGUAGGGAAUAUUGGGCAAUGGACGGAAGUCUGACCCAGCCAUGCCGCGUGCAGGAAGACGGCGCUCAGCGUUGUAAACUGCUUUUAUCUGGGAAGAAAAGAAGCCCUGCGGGGUUUUGUGACGGUACCAGAGGAAUAAGCACCGGCUAACUCCGUGCCAGCAGCCGCGGUAAUACGGAGGGUGCAAGCGUUGUCCGGAUUUAUUGGGUUUAAAGGGUGCGUAGGUGGCUUUUUAAGUCAGACCUGAAAGUGGGCCGCUUAACGGCACAGGGUGGUUUGAUACUGAAGAGCUUGAAGAGGGUGGAGGCCGCCGGAACGGAUCGUGUAGCGGUGAAAUGCAUAGAGAUGAUCCAGAACCCCGAUUGCGAAGGCAGGCGGCUACGCCCCACUUGACACUGAGGCACGAGAGCAUGGGGA